ensembl:rRNA 5S_rRNA 5S ribosomal RNA
GGUUACGGCCAUACCACCUUAGGCACGCCCGAUCUCGUCUGAUCUCGGAAGCUAAGCAGGGUCGGGCCUGGUUAGUACUUGGAUGGGUGACCGCCUGGGAAUACCAGGUGCUGUAAGCA